GACGAACGCUGGCGGCGUGCCUAAUACAUGCAAGUCGAGCGAUGAAGACUGGUGCUUGUUCCAAUUUGCAGAGCAGCGAACGGGUGAGUAACGCGUGGGGAAUCUGCCUUUUAGCGGGGGACAACAUUUGGAAACGAAUGCUAAUACCGCAUAAUCACUUUAAACAUAAGUUUGAAGGUUUAAAGAUGCAAUUGCAUCACUCAAAGAUGAAUGCGCGUUGUAUUAGCUAGUUGGUGAGGUAAAGGCUCACCAAGGCGAUGAUACAUAGCCGACCUGAGAGGGUGAUCGGCCAACUUGGGACUGAGACACGGCCCAAACUCCUACGGGAGGCAGCAGUAGGGAAUCUUCGGCAAUGGACGAAAGUCUGACCGAGCAACGCCGCGUGAGUGAAGAAGGUUUUCGGAUCGUAAAACUCUGUUGGUAGAGAAGAACGUUGGUGAGAGUGGAAAGCUCAUCAAGUGACGGUAACUACCCAGAAAGGGACGGCUAACUACGUG
rnacentral:rRNA from 1 species